rnacentral:rRNA from 1 species
AUACGGAGGGUGCAAGCGUUAAUCGGAAUUACUGGGCGUAAAGCGUACGUAGGCGGUUAUUUAAGUCAGAUGUGAAAGCCCCGGGCUUAACUUGGGAACUGCAUUUGAAACUGGGUAACUAGAGUUUAGUAGAGGGGAGUGGAAUUUCAGGUGUAGCGGUGAAAUGCGUAGAGAUCUGAAGGAACACCAGUGGCGAAGGCGACUCCCUGGACUAAAACUGACGCUGAGGUACGAAAGCGGGGGUAGCAAACAGGAUUAGAAACCCUAGUAGUCC